CAGGUGCUCCUUUAUAAGAAAAGAGAAACACUACACGAAGAGCACGCAGGAGGCAAUGUCGUGUGACUAUGGAGACCAAGACUGAAAUGCUGCAGGAGUAGACAGGAGAUUAUGAAAAAGGCAGAGCUAAGACAGAGAAGAGAACCAGUAUGCAUUGAACACCAUUACAAACAUCUCAUUUAAUUUUGACACCUUGUAUGGAUGCUUACUUUGUUCUGAAUUCUAGUGAGUAUUUUUCUAGGACCAGAAUGAUUGACUUUCACCUGAUGGCCAACCAAAUUUUCUUUGUCUCCUGGGAUGUGUUUAUCAGAAAAAUGGGCCAGACAGUAGACAAAGACAGUUCAACUUUGGGGAUUUUGCUCAUGGAUCAUCAUGCACAAGGGAUUAGAGCACAUGGAUUAGAGUUUUCUUUCUCAAAGGAAUUAUUGACCUUUCUGGCCCUGGAGAAAGACCCAAGCACAUCUUUAUAUUUCUCUCUGCUAGGACAUUCAGUUCUUGAACUUAAUAAUUCUAAAUACAGAGGUCUCUCAUUUAAAUAAAAACAUCACAAAUCAUAUAUAGUGUUCUGGAUUUAGAGGGGAUAAAGGGAAUCUCCUUCGGAUGUGUAAUAUGUUUGAGAGCUGCAUUAAGAUGUGAAGAUAUAGAAAAUAUGGAAUAAGAACAAAAAAAGACACUAGAGAAAAUAAAAUAGUCUACAAGUGUGCAGUGAUCCUCAAACGAAUUAAUCAAGUAAAAUCUAUAGAUUUCAAGACAUGAAUUUCACACAAUUGAUAGAAAAUAGAAUGAAAUAGAAAUUGUUACACCUGUAUCCUACGCAAAUAGAUUAGAAUGCAGACACUCACACUCACAGCCCUAUCUUCCCAUCUGAUCACUCACACAGAUGAAAGGGAUCCAAAAACACUGUUUUCUCUCUCCCAUUUCUUUUAUCUUAAUGAUAUGUAGUAGAAAUUCUCAUAUUAGUACCUACUAUUAUUUUUAUAUUAUUCUAGCACAUUCUUUCUAAUGGUUCAAGGUAUUUCAUUGUAUAAAUGUAUCUUAAUGUAAAUCUACAAUCGCCUAUAAAUAAAUAAACAUGAAGAUUGUUUUCAGUUUGGAACAUUUUACUUUUCUAUUUCUUCUCCAAGCAUUACUGCAAUGAAUAUCCUUAGACAUAACUUGCUGAGUGCAUGUGUGUGUAUGUCUGUAGAAAAUAUUUCUUUGGAGUGGAAUUUCUGAGCUAAAGGGUAUUUACUAGAUACUGACCUUUUGCCAAACUGAACUUCAAAAAGUUUAUUCCAAUAUAUACUCCCAUUACCACCAUGUGGUUAUAUGUUUCUGCAAAAUCUUGCCCACACCAUGUUUUGUAAUCCUUUUAAUUGUUGCCAAUCUGUUAGGUAAAAAUAAACAAAAUAUCCUGUUGUUUUAAUUUGCAUUUACUAAAUCACUGUGUGAGGUUAAGCUUCUGUUCAUAUCAUUCUGAGGGAUUUGUUUUUCUUUUUCUGAACUGCGCUCAUAAUAGGUGCAUCAUAAAUAUUUGUUGAACAAUUAAAUAAACUGUUAUGCAAUUGUUCCUUUUAUUAGUAGUCUGAAUGAACUCUUUACAGAAUAAAAACAUU